ACUCCUACGGGAGGCAGCAGUAGGGGAAUCUUCCACAAUGGGCGCAAGCCUGAUGGAGCAACACCGCGUGAGUGAAGAAGGGUUUCGGCUCGUAAAGCUCUGUUGUUAAAGAAGAACACGUAUGAGAGUAACUGUUCAUACGUUGACGGUAUUUAACCAGAAAGUCACGGCUAACUACGUGCCAGCAGCCGCGGUAAUACGUAGGUGGCAAGCGUUAUCCGGAUUUAUUGGGCGUAAAGAGAGUGCAGGCGGUUUUCUAAGUCUGAUGUGAAAGCCUUCGGCUUAACCGGAGAAGUGCAUCGGAAACUGGAUAACUUGAGUGCAGAAGAGGGUAGUGGAACUCCAUGUGUAGCGGUGGAAUGCGUAGAUAUAUGGAAGAACACCAGUGGCGAAGGCGGCUACCUGGUCUGCAACUGACGCUGAGACUCGAAAGCAUGGGUAGCGAACAGGAUUAGAUACCCU
rnacentral:rRNA from 1 species